ACAUCAGAGAGCGGCUCCUCUGCCCUCCAAAACAAAAACUUUUCUACCAUCUUGGAGGCAGCGUAAAUAAAACCGACUGAAUGUACAGGAGCUUGACAAGUGACCUGGCAAGAAUACCCUUUAAUCCAGCGAAGUUCUGUAUGUUGGAUGACUGUAUUGGCUGGUAAUUUGAGCCCCUGCCUGGGCUUGGCUCCUUUAGCUCAGGCCCCAGUCCUUCCCUUGACUUCAGUGGCCUUGAGGUCUAAACUUGUGUAAUAUUACCAAAGUAACACAAAGUACAGAUGACUGUCCUUGUUUUCCUCAGUCUUAGGGGCUUGUUGAAAGCUCACUGGAGCAAUGGGAAUUUUGCUGUUGAUUUUAGUAGGAAUAAGGUUGCAUAACUAUUUAACCAGUUGGGAGCAGAUGUAUGCUAGCUAUUGCAUAAUAUAAUUAACUGAGAGUGAACUGAAUUGAAAAUAGUCAUUAGCUGAGACUUUACUCAUCUGUUCUUCAUUAGCAGUGCAUGUUUUAAUCUGCAUUAAAUAAAUGUAUUGUCUUCAUAAAUCUCUGAUAAGACAAAAUAAGACUAUUAAUUGUGGGCAGGUUGUCCAGAGUACACGUUGGGUGUAUGGAGACUUCUUUAAACAGGAAGAUAAAUGAAUGGAAUAAACUCUUAGCAGAAUGUUCUAAUAAAGUCCCCUUUUACUAGAAAACCCAUUGUUAAAUCAAAAUACACUGCUAUAUUUUUAUUUGACUAUUUGUUUCUGUCUGUUGGUAUUUCAUUAACUGUAAUUGUAGAGGUUAAGAAGCUACACCCUUUGUUACCUACCCAUCCUUCUUUUUUGGUCUUAGUUCAGUAACUCUUUUACAUUCCGGUUGCAGUGGGUCUUGGUCAUCAUUGCAAAUUAGAAACCUGAAAAUUAAUUCCCACGCUGGAUCAAAUCCAUUUUCUAUUAGUCUUCUGACAGUGGGCAGUAUAAGAUGCUUCGAAGAACAGUGUAAAAUACCUUGUGAUGGAUAAUUCUGAAAUAAACUGCAUGUAGGACAGUAUUUUUCAGAAAUAAUUGGAGUUUAGCAAACAUCAAAGCAUGAGGUUUAAUUAGUUCGUAGGGUCAUGACAUACCAGUGCAUUUUGAAAAUUACUUGAUAUAUACGAAGCUUUUUGCUUUUCUUUGUGUAUUUUUUUUAUGUGCCAAUUUCACUUCUGAGCUGUUUCAAACACACAGGUGCACAGAAGGUGACAAGACAGAAAUAAAAUUUCCUUGAAAUAUGAGCUGAGCAUUAUUCAAAAUUCAGUAUUAGCAUUAGAGUGAUGUCUCUAUCAGCUAGAAUGUCUCAUUACACACGGAGGCUAGACCAGGGAAAGGUCUCUAAAUCUCAGUAGGUUUCUCAGCGUUAGGUACUCUAAUAGAAUGGAUGCUUGCAUGUAGCCAGAGGAAAAUACGUAUUAGUAGUGUGUGUUUCGCAUAGCUGGCUGUGCUGACUGCGGAGUCACUCAUAAAGCAUGCAAAUCUCAAGGUUUGUAUGCAUGUCUCUUAUGAAGCUAUCGGUGACACUCCUCUGUUGUGCUCAGCUGCGUGGUGCUUUGGAUACCCAGAAGCUUUGAAAAACAGCACUAACAGUCAUUCUGUCAAAUAAUAUAUGUUACUGUGAAGCGUCUUUUGGACUAAACCUUACACAACAGACAGGACCAUGACUUGUAUAAGGCCUCACCCAGUGAAGGACUCAGAGUUUGCUUCCAAACAAAAAGUUUCUUUGUGACUUUCUACUGUUGUGAAUAGUUAUUUAAGUCCUGCUUUCCCAAAGGUAGCUAUGCCUCAGUGACAUUGUAUGCAGACAGUUGGAGAAGAUAAAUUGCAUAUGUUAAGUGUGUGGGUUUUUGUGUGUGUGGGUUUUUUUUUUUUUAAAUAGGAAUUACUGCCUUUGACAAGGCAACUUCCCUGGUAACUCUUGAGAGAACUUACUCUGUAAAAUGAAUAGUUGUAAAUAGCUCACUUUGGUUGUAAGUGAGGUCCUCAACUUUCAGGUGCUGUCUGUAACUCCCUACUUACUGCUGCAUUUUUUCCAUGAUGGUAGUCACCAUCAAGUCCUUGUCUAUCAGCGUACUCGUUAGCACUUCUGUUCCUGUCCUAUCUGGGCCUAGAAAGAAUUAGUCUUUCACCCCAUCUCACUGAAGGUGAUUUCAUCUAAUUGCAUAUUCCAAGGACAAUAAAACAAAUCAGUACCAAGACUCUUCUGUAUGGGGAGAGGAUGUUUUGGCUUAGUCAUUGUUUGGAGUAUUUUAUGAGGGGUGGGUGUUUGGGGACAGGGAUGGAGAAUAGGUUUUGUUACCUUUUCUCUUUGGUUUAGGGCUGAUGCUCUGCUCUUUUUCUUUAGCUCAGUGAAUCUUAGCUGCUUCUCUAUAUAGCUUUGCCAGUAACAUAAGAGCACAUCCCCUACCCAGACAGAUAGCAGCCACUGCCCUGCAAGAAUUUAUCAGCCUCAGAAGAGGUACUGAUCCCACAUCUUUCAGUUCCUGGGGAAACGCUAUACAUACUUCCUUUUCUGCCUUAAGUUAUGCUUUAAAAUACACUUAACAAUAAGGCCAUUGCAACUACAUUUUUGUGAAUGGCCCAGCUGGGCCAUGGGCUGAGAGCAUACCUCAGUUUGACUUCACUUUCCCUUUGGCACCACACUGUCUAGUUUCUUUGUAUCAAAGCAGCUUACUAAAUUGUCCAUGAUUUAAAGCAGUCUCCACCUGGAACUAUUAGGAUGUACCCAUGGGGUGCUGGUGCUUCCAGGAGGGUAGCUAUUGAAUAGGAUGUUUUGUUUUGUAUCAUAGCUUUAGACG